ACCAGGUGCAAUGGCACAUGCCUGUAGUCCCAGCUACUCGGGAGGCCUAGGUGGGAGGAUCACUUGAGCCCAGGAAUUCUGGGCUGUAGUGUGCUAUGCUGAUCAGGUGUCCGCACUAAGUUCAGAAUCAAUAUGGUGACCUCCUGGGAGUGAGGGACCCUGGGAGUGAGGAGGGGUGAACCGGUCCAGGGUGGAAACGGAGCAGGUCAAAACUCCUGUGCUGAUCAGUAGUGGGAUCAUGCCUGUGAAUAACCACUGCAUUCCAGCCUGGGCAACAUAGCCAGACUCUGUCUCUC
ensembl:misc_RNA Metazoa_SRP Metazoan signal recognition particle RNA